GUGUAAAUGGUGUGAGGUGCACCAGGGGUGUCCGUGUGACACCUCUAUGGUGAGUGUAAAUGGUGUGAGGUGCACCAGGGGUGUCCGUGUGACACCACCGUGGUGAGUGUUGGUGUCACAGUGGUGUGAGGUGGCACCAGGGGUGUCAGUGUGACACCUCAAUGGUGAGUGUUGGUGUCAGAGUGGUGUGAGGUGGCACCAAGAGGGUCAGUGUGACACCACCAUGGUGAGUGUUGGUGUCAGAGUGGUGUGAGGUGGCAGCAGGGGUGUCGGUGUGACACCUCUAUGGUGAAUGUUGGUGUCACAGUGGUGUGAAAUGGCACCAGGAGUGUCACUGUGACACCUCUAUGGUGAGUGUUGGUGUCACAGUGGUGUGAGGUGGCAGUAGAGGUGUCGGUGUGACACCACCAUGGUGAGUGUUGGUGUCACAGUGGUGAAAGGUGGCACCAGGAGUGUCAGUGGUGUGAGGUGGCACCAGGAGUGUCACUGUGACACCACCAUGGUGAGUGUUGGUGUCACAGUGGUGUGAGGUGGCACCAGGAGUGUCACUGUGACACCACCAUGGUGAGUGUUGGUGUCACAGUGGUGUGAGGUGGCACCAGGAGUGUCAAUGUGACACCACCAUGGUGAGUGUUGGUGUCACAGUGGUGUGAGGUGGCACCACGAGUGUCAACGUGACACCACCAUAUCCGUGUUGGUGUCACGGUGGUGUGAGGUGGCACCAGGAGUGUCAGUGUGACACCACCGUGGUGACAGUGUUGGUGUCACAGUGGUGUGAGGUGGCACCAGGAGUGUCAAUGUGACACCUCUAUGGUGAGUGUUGGUGUCACAGUGGUGUGAGGUGGCAGCAGAGGUGUCGGUGUGACACCACCAUGGUGAAUGUUGGUGUCACAGUGGUGUGAGGUGCCACCAGGAGUGUCACUGGUGUGAGGUGGCACCAGGAGUGUCCGUGUGACACCUCUAUGGUGAGUGUUGGUGUCAGUGGUGUGAGGUGGCAGCAGAGGUGUCGGUGUGUCACCACGAUGGUCACCAUUGUGUCACCACGACUGUGACAGCACCACUGCUGUGACCACGGCACCGCACCACCAUUGGUGUCACCAGGAGACCUCAAUGGGUGUCACCAUGAUGUCACCACUGGUGUCACCAGGAUAUCACCAUCGGUGUCACCACGGCACCACCGGUGUCACCACCACCCGACCACCCUGCGCUGUCCCCGCUCUGUG
ensembl:lncRNA